UACAGAGGGUGCGAGCGUUGUUCGGAAUUACUGGGCGUAAAGGGUUCGUAGGUGGUGCGGCAAGUUGGGAGUGAAAUCUCUGGGCUUAACUCAGAGGCUGCUUUCAAAACUGCCGCGCUCGAGUGCGAGAGAGGUCAGUGGAAUUGCAGGUGUAGCGGUGAAAUGCGUAGAUAUCUGCAGGAACACCCGUGGCGAAGGCGGCUGACUGGAUCGCAACUGACACUGAGGAACGAAAGCUAGGGGAGCAAACAGG
rnacentral:rRNA from 1 species